rnacentral:rRNA from 1 species
GCUUAUGGCCAAAUCACCCUGAGCACACCCAUUCUCAUCUGAUCUUGGAAGCUAAGCCGAAUCGGGCCUAGUUAGUAUCUGGAUGGGAGAUUGCCUGGGAAUACUGGGUGGCUGUGGCUC